rnacentral:rRNA from 1 species
AUUGAACGCUGGCGGCAGGCCUAACACAUGCAAGUCGAACGAGUGGCGGACGGGUGAGUAAUGUAUGGGGAUCUGACCGAUGGAGGGGGAUAACUACUGGAAACGGUGGCUAAUACCGCAUACCAUCAGAUGUGUCCAGAUGGGAUUAGCUAGUAGGUGGGGUAACGGCUCACCUAGGCGACGAUCCCUAGCUGGUCUGAGAGGAUGAUCAGCCACACUGGAACUGAGACACGGUGCAGACUCCUACGGGAGGCAGCAGUGGGGAAUAUUGCACAAUGGGCGCAAGCCUGAUGCAGCCAUGCCGCGUGUAUGAAGAAGGCCUUCGGGUUGUUAAGUACUUUCAGCGGGGAGGCGUUACUCGCAGAAGAAGCACCGGCUAACUCCGUGCCAGCAGCCGCGGUAAUAC